rnacentral:rRNA from 1 species
AUUGAACGCUGGCGGCAUGCCUUACACAUGCAAGUCGAACGGCAGCACGGGGGCAACCCUGGUGGCGAGUGGCGAACGGGUGAGUAAUGCAUCGGAACGUACCCAGUAGUGGGGGAUAGCCCGGCGAAAGCCGGAUUAAUACCGCAUACGACCUGAGGGUGAAAGCGGGGGCUCGCAAGACCUCGCGCUAUUGGAGCGGCCGAUGUCAGAUUAGGUAGUUGGUGGGGUAAAGGCCUACCAAGCCUGCGAUCUGUAGCUGGUCUGAGAGGACGACCAGCCACACUGGGACUGAGACACGGCCCAGACUCCUACGGGAGGCAGCAGUGGGGAAUUUUGGACAAUGGGCGCAAGCCUGAUCCAGCCAUGCCGCGUGCGGGAGAAGGCCUCGGUGUAACGCUUGUCAGGAGAAAGUCGGUAUACCUGGAUGCUGACGGUACCUGAAGAAUAAGCACCGGCUAACUACGUGCCAGCAGCCGCGGUAAAGUC